GAUGAACGCUGGCGGCGUGCCUAAUACAUGCAAGUCGAGCGAAUGGAUUAAGAGCUUGCUCUUAUGAAGUCAGCGGCGGACGGGUGAGUAACACGUGGGUAACCUGCCCAUAAGACUGGGAUAACUCCGGGAAACCGGGGCUAAUACCGGAUAACAUUUUGAACCGCAUGGUUCGAAAUUGAAAGGCGGCUUCGGCUGGCACUUAUGGAUGGACCCGCGUCGCAUUAGCUAGUUGGUGAGGUAACGGCUCACCAAGGCAACGAUGCGUAGCCGACCUGAGAGGGUGAGCGGCCACACUGGGACUGAGACACGGCCCAGACUCCUACGGGAGGCAGCAGUAGGGAAUCUUCCGCAAUGGACGAAAGUCUGGCGGAGCAACGCCGCGUGAGUGAUGAAGGCUUUCGGGUCGUAAAACUCUGUUGUUAGGGAAGAACAAGUGCUAGUUGAAUAAGCUGGCACCUUGACGGUACCUAACCAGAAAGCCACGGCUAACUACGUGCCAGCCGCCGCCGUAA
rnacentral:rRNA from 1 species